rnacentral:rRNA from 1 species
UACGAAGGGGGCUAGCGUUGCUCGGAAUCACUGGGCGUAAAGGGUGCGUAGGCGGGUCUUUAAGUCAGGGGUGAAAUCCUGGAGCUCAACUCCAGAACUGCCUUUGAUACUGAAGAUCUUGAGUUCGGGAGAGGUGAGUGGAACUGCGAGUGUAGAGGUGAAAUUCGUAGAUAUUCGCAAGAACACCAGUGGCGAAGGCGGCCAACUGGACCACAACUGACGCUGAGGCGCGAAAGCGUGGGGAGCAAACAGG